GAUGAACGCUGGCGGCGUGCCUAAUACAUGCAAGUCGAGCGAACGGACGAGAAGCUUGCUUCUCUGAUGUUAGCGGCGGACGGGUGAGUAACACGUGGAUAACCUACCUAUAAGACUGGGAUAACUUCGGGAAACCGGAGCUAAUACCGGAUAAUAUUUUGAACCGCAUGGUUCAAAAGUGAAAGACGGUCUUGCUGUCACUUAUAGAUGGAUCCGCGCUGCAUUAGCUAGUUGGUAAGGUAACGGCUUACCAAGGCAACGAUGCAUGGCCGACCUGAGAGGGUGAUCGGCCACACUGGAACUGAGACACGGUCCAGACUCCUACGGGAGGCAGCAGUAGGGAAUCUUCCGCAAUGGGCGAAAGCCUGACGGAGCAACGCCGCGUGAGUGAUGAAGGUCUUCGGAUCGUAAAACUCUGUUAUUAGGGAAGAACAUAUGUGUAAGUAACUGUGCACAUCUUGACGGUACCUAAUCAGAAAGCCACGGCUAACUACGUGCCAGCAGCCGCGGUAAUACGUAGGUGGCAAGCGUUAUCCGGAAUUAUUGGGCGUAAAGCGCGCGUAGGCGGUUUUUUAAGUCUGAUGUGAAAGCCCACGGCUCAACCGUGGAGGGUCAUUGGAAACUGGAAAACUUGAGUGCAGAAGAGGAAAGUGGAAUUCCAUGUGUAGCGGUGAAAUGCGCAGAGAUAUGGAGGAACACCAGUGGCGAAGGCGACUUUCUGGUCUGUAACUGACGCUGAUGUGCGAAAGCGUGGGGAUCAAACAGGAUUAGAUACCCUGGUAGUCCACGCCGUAAACGAUGAGUGCUAAGUGUUAGGGGGUUUCCGCCCCUUAGUGCUGCAGCUAACGCAUUAAGCACUCCGCCUGGGGAGUACGACCGCAAGGUUGAAACUCAAAGGAAUUGACGGGGACCCGCACAAGCGGUGGAGCAUGUGGUUUAAUUCGAAGCAACGCGAAGAACCUUACCAAAUCUUGACAUCCUUUGACAACUCUAGAGAUAGAGCUUUCCCCUUCGGGGGACAAAGUGACAGGUGGUGCAUGGUUGUCGUCAGCUCGUGUCGUGAGAUGUUGGGUUAAGUCCCGCAACGAGCGCAACCCUUAAGCUUAGUUGCCAUCAUUAAGUUGGGCACUCUAAGUUGACUGCCGGUGACAAACCGGAGGAAGGUGGGGAUGACGUCAAAUCAUCAUGCCCCUUAUGAUUUGGGCUACACACGUGCUACAAUGGACAAUACAAAGGGCAGCGAAACCGCGAGGUCAAGCAAAUCCCAUAAAGUUGUUCUCAGUUCGGAUUGUAGUCUGCAACUCGACUACAUGAAGCUGGAAUCGCUAGUAAUCGUAGAUCAGCAUGCUACGGUGAAUACGUUCCCGGGUCU
rnacentral:rRNA from 1 species